rnacentral:piRNA from 1 species
CUAGUGCAAAAUCUUCACUUA